GACGAACGCUGGCGGCGUGCUUAACACAUGCAAGUCGAACGCAGUGGCGCACGGGUGAGUAACGCGUAAUCAACCUGCCCUUCAGAGGGGGACAACAGUUGGAAACGACUGCUAAUACCGCAUACUGCAGUGGGUGAUUGCGUCGGAUUAGCUAGUUGGAGGGGUAACGGCCAACCAAGGCGAUGAUCAGUAGCCGGUCUGAGAGGAUGAACGGCCACAUUGGGACUGAGACACGGCCCAGACUCCUACGGGAGGCAGCAGUGGGGAAUCUUCCGCAAUGGACGAAAGUCUGACGGAGCAACGCCGCGUGAGUGAUGACGGCCUUCGGGUUGUAAAGCUCUGUUAAUCGGGACGCGGUACCGGAAUAGAAAGCCACGGCUAACUCCGUGCCAGUAGCCGCGGUAAUAC
rnacentral:rRNA from 1 species